UAGGCCGCCGGGGGCCCUGGCGCCCCCGGGCGAGUGCCCGUCGGAGACCCUUCUUCGAACGCUGUCUGANGACUGCCGUCUGAGUUGGAUAUACAAAUCAAUCAAAACUUUCAACAACGGAUCUCUUGGUUCCGGCAUCGAUGAAGAACGCAGCGAACUGCGAUAAGUAAUGUGAAUUGCAGAAUUCAGUGAAUCAUCGAGUCUUUGAACGCACAUUGCGCCCCCUGGUAUUCCGGGGGGCAUGCCUGUCCGAGCGUCAUUGCUACCCUCAAGCGCGGCUUGUGUGUUGGGCCGCCGUCCCCUCCACCGGGGGACGGGCCCGAAAGGCAGUGACGGCACCGGGGCCGAUCCUCGAGCGUAUGGGGCUUUGUCACCCGCUCCGUGGGAUCCGGCCGGUGCCUUCGAGCCGACGUUCGUCGUCCUCCUCCUCAGGUUGACCUCGGAUCAGGUAGGGAUACCCGCUGAACUUAAGCAUAUCAAUAAGCGGAGGA
rnacentral:rRNA from 1 species